rnacentral:rRNA from 1 species
GGCGGCAGGCCUAACACAUGCAAGUCGAGCGGUAGAGAGAAGCUUGCUUCUCUUGAGAGCGGCGGACGGGUGAGUAAUGCCUAGGAAUCUGCCUGGUAGUGGGGGAUAACGUUCGGAAACGGACGCUAAUACCGCAUACGUCCUACGGGAGAAAGCAGGGGACCUUCGGGCCUUGCGCUAUCAGAUGAGCCUAGGUCGGAUUAGCUAGUUGGUGAGGUAAUGGCUCACCAAGGCGACGAUCCGUAACUGGUCUGAGAGGAUGAUCAGUCACACUGGAACUGAGACACGGUCCAGACUCCUACGGGAGGCAGCAGUGGGGAAUAUUGGACAAUGGGCGAAAGCCUGAUCCAGCCAUGCCGCGUGUGUGAAGAAGGUCUUCGGAUUGUAAAGCACUUUAAGUUGGGAGGAAGGGCAGUUACUUAAUACGUGAUUGUUUUGACGUUACCGACAGAAUAAGCACCGGCUAACUCUGUGCCAGCAGCCGCGGUAAUACAGAGGGUGCAAGCGUUAAUCGGAAUUACUGGGCGUAAAGCGCGCGUAGGUGGUUUGUUAAGUUGGAUGUGAAAUCCCCGGGCUCAACCUGGGAACUGCAUUCAAAACUGACUGACUAGAGUGUGGUAGAGGGUGGUGGAAUUUCCUGUGUAGCGGUGAAAUGCGUAGAUAUAGGAAGGAACACCAGUGGCGAAGGCGACCACCUGGACCAACAC